AGUAGAUUGGGAAACUCUUCAAAUUUUACAUGAAAUACCGAGAACAAGCUUAGCCGACCGAUGGCGGGCCUCAACGGCACUUCGGUGUCGUAGCCUUCGAGCCGGAGGAUUACAAAGGGCGGCGAGCACUCAAAACCUGUCUUUUCGGAGUUUCAUCGCAUCCUUUGGUGUGGCUCUUA
rnacentral:sRNA from 1 species